UACGGAGGAUGCAAGCGUUAUCCGGAUUUAUUGGGUUUAAAGGGUGCGCAGGUUGUUUGAUAAGUCAGUGGUGAAAGUCUGUCGCUUAACGGUAGGAUUGCCAUUGAUACUGUUGGACUUGAAUAUCGAUGAGGUAGGCGGAAUGUGUAGUGUAGCGGUGAAAUGCAUAGAUAUUACACAGAACACCGAUUGCGAAGGCAGCUUACUAAUCCAUCAUUGACGCUGAGGCACGAAAGCGUGGGGAUCGAACA
rnacentral:rRNA from 1 species